ACAAAAUAAAAUCUUCGCAUUGGAGAGAGAGAGAGAGAGAGCUUUGCUCUCUUAACUAAUGCUGCAGCUCGAACUGGAGGACGUAUGGAUAAGAGAGUCCAUUGCGGCUGCUGCAGCAGCAGUUGGUGCUUGCGCUCCUGAAAAAGGCCAUCCAGGGAGAGAUGGACAGUUAGAUGGAUGCUGUGGAUUGUGUUGUGGAUGUUGCUGUUGGCUCCUCCGCAUGUUGUUGUUGCUGCUGUUGUUGUUGGUACAAGAACUGCUUGGGCUUAUCAUGAGUAAAUCGAAUCAGUUUAUCUACAGUUAAUGCUAUGCACAGAUGUGUACGUGUUUCUCACUCGUGGCCAUAAUAAGAAUUGUUAACUAAAAUUAGUAACU